AGAGUUUGAUCCUGGCUCAGAACGAACGCUGGCGGUAUGCUUAACACAUGCAAGUCGUACGCGAAAGGGACUUCGGUCCUGAGUAAAGUGGCGCACGGGUGAGUAACACGUGGAUAAUCUACCCGAUAGUCUGGGAUAACAUUUCGAAAGAGAUGCUAAUACCGGAUAAGCCCACAACGUCUUCGGACGAUGGGGGAAAAGGUGGGGACCUUCGGGCCUGCCGUUAUCGGAUGAGUCCGCGUCCCAUUAGCUAGUUGGUGAGGUAAAGGCUCACCAAGGCGACGAUCCGUAGCUGGUCUGAGAGGAUGAUCAGCCACACCGGAACUGAGACACGGUCCGGACUCCUACGGGAGGCAGCAGUGGGGAAUAUUGGACAAUGGGGGCAACCCUGAUCCAGCCAUGCCGCGUGUGUGAAGAAGGCUUUCGGGUUGUAAAGCACUUUCAGUGGGGAGGAAAUACCGCGGGCGAAUAGUCUGCGGGGCUGACGUUACCCACAGAAGAAGCACCGGCUAAUUCCGUGCCAGCAGCCGCGGUAAUACGGAAGGUGCGAGCGUUAAUCGGAAUUACUGGGCGUAAAGCGCGCGUAGGCGGCCUGGUCAGUCGGGUGUGAAAGCCCCGGGCUUAACCUGGGAACUGCAUCCGAUACUGCGGGGCUGGAGUACGAGAGAGGCGAGUGGAAUUCCCGGUGUAGCGGUGAAAUGCGUAGAGAUCGGGAGGAACAUCAGUGGCGAAGGCGGCUCGCUGGCUUGAUACUGACGCUGAGGUGCGAAAGCGUGGGGAGCAAACAGGAUUAGAUACCCUGGUAGUCCACGCUGUAAACGAUGUCUGCUAGCCGUUGGUUUCCUUGAGGGAUCAGUGGCGCAGUUAACGCGAUAAGCAGACCGCCUGGGGAGUACGGCCGCAAGGUUAAAACUCAAAGGAAUUGACGG
rnacentral:rRNA from 1 species